rnacentral:rRNA from 1 species
AAGUCGUUUGAUUAGGCUUAUUUUAAGUGAUAAACACAGGGUGUUGAAGGAACAUCGAGUAGUCGGUGUUGAACUUAAUCUUAGUGGCGGACGGGUGAGUAACGCGUGAGUAACCUGCCUUUCAGAGGGGGAUAACGUUUUGAAAAGAACGCUAAUACCGCAUAAUAUUCCGGUAUCGCAUGGUAUCGGAAUCAAAGGAGCAAUCCGCUGAAAGAUGGACUCGCGUCCGAUUAGCCAGUUGGCGGGGUAACGGCCCACCAAAGCGACGAUCGGUAGCCGGACUGAGAGGUUGAACGGCCACAUUGGGACUGAGACACGGCCCAGACUCCUACGGGAGGCAGCAGUGGGGGAUAUUGCACAAUGGGGGAAACCCUGAUGCAGCAACGCCGCGUGAAGGAAGAAGGUCUUCGGAUUGUAAACUUUUGUCCUCAGUGAAGAUAAUGACGGUAGCUGAGGAGGAAGCUCCGGCUAACUACGUGCC